ACUGCCAACAUGGCCGACAACAGCAACCAGCGAGCCACAGGGAACUUUAACGCUGAUCCUGCCCAUACACACACACACAUACACGUGAGGGCCAGCUGGACCUUUGCAUGAAGUGGAAUGAGGGAACAAACCACGCCCAACAGCCAGAAGAAGAACAGGAAGGCAGAGGAACGGCAUCCCCGCACUCUCUCCCAAUGAAUCACGCACACGGCUAACACCUGUCAAACACACAACUGUUAAUGACAUUAUUCUCAUCUGCUAAAAUUACAGUUCAAAAAAAAAAAAACAGUAAUAACAAAUAACUUAAAAAGAGCACAGCUCUCCUUCUGCUACUGAAUGAUGCAAGUUUACUUUAAAGCAAAGUAUGUAUUUUUUUGUACAUUUAAAAAGCCUAAGCCAUUCGUAGGAUACAGCUAUAGAAAGUGUAAACAAUAUGGUUCUCUUUGAAUGGCCAAUGGUGUGAGUUUGGGGACAGGACUGUCUGUUUGGCCGACCAUGGGAAAACAGGGAAAGUGUUCAGGGAAACUUCAUUACUUCAUCCUUUUUGAAAUUACACAUUUCACCGUUAUGCAAUCUCAUUGUGAAGGACUUUAAAUAGAUUUAAUUACAUUUAACAUAUUUAAAUGACUACUAUCGAGGCCAUGACCUUUAGAGCGAAGGAAGAUCGGUAAGCAAAACAACACCCAACCAAGUUUUAAAAAAAAAAUAGUAGAUGAAAUCUGUUAGGGAAACCUUACUUUUAAAAUUGUACUAUGCUUUCUUGAUGACAUGAAGACUAAUCCAUCAUUAAAUUUGCUUCGUUUUUGUUUCA